rnacentral:lncRNA from 1 species
AACAGAAUUUGAAAGCAGCCGCUGCUGCGACCUGGACCAAUGAUCUGGGCAGAGAGACGGGGGAGUUUCAGCUGCGCCUGGCGCCCGUUACGAAUGCCAGCUUGGCCUUCUCCUCCCCACGUGGAGCACGGGCGAGACGGGGCUGCCUGCGGGCCGCUCCUGAAGGCAGCCAGGCUGAGAUGCAGCUGGGCACCCACUGUCUGCUCUUCCAGCAAGCRAGGGUCUCUGCCUCUCCCUGCCCCAGGGACACGUGAGCAGGGACGUGGAUGCAGGAGUGAUGCUCUUGGGGCUGUUUCUUCUGGCUCUCUUGCAGCUACUGUCUUUUGCUGUGGAAUCCAGCUUGAUCCGCUCACGCUCAUGACAGAUGUCAAAAGUAACCUGCCAGGCCCUCACCUCUUAAGGACCAUCUCAGAUGACAUGGCAGAGAAAAAUUCG